CCAGCGGCGCUAAAAUGCUAUUUGAUCUCUCCAAAAUGCUAAUGAGUAACGAAGAGAUCUGUUUACGCAGCGCAGCUGAAUGUCAAAAAGUGAAAGGUCUUCUUGAUCUUUUAAAAGUUAAACUUGACACAGUCUUUUAAAAACAUGUAGAUCUCGAGACGCUGUCUAGCCUAGCGCAUGUUUACAUAAAACUGUAAUGAGGACCUUGGAAACCAAAAACGCAUUCUGUGUGAACAAGCCCAUACCGUGGUGAGCAAGACCUGUUGGAUGUUUUGCUGCAAAAGCUCACUCGACAAUGGAUGCACAUUUCCUUGCCUCCGAUCCAGCCUAGAUGAAUGGGUCUGCAUCCAAACCCCUACGAUAAUAUCAAGGGCUUUUAAAGACAGUAUUCAUGUAGGCUUCAUCACGUGUAAAAGCACAGAAGAUGAACCACCAGACCAUGUACAGGAGAUGACGGCCUAGUCUGAGCAAAAAAAGCCUUCACUGUAAGCUCAGCACCAUCAUCCAUCACUGACUCACGUCACAUGCCUACGCAAGGAGGGAAGUGUGAAGGUUAAAGGCUCUAUGAAACCACAAAGUUAAGAUAGAAGUUAAGAUCCACUAUGAAUUUCUUUUCAGAUUUGUGGAUAAGAAGUCCUGGUUUAUUUUUGGUGUCCUUGGUAUUUCACAUAUGGCAGCAUGUUGACGUUACGUUAGCCUUCCAGCUUUCUGUAGAAUGUGUCGCUAUACAAUUGUUACAUAAUAGUAUGGCUUUUUUGUGUACCAUAAGAACUUACAGGCUCUUCUGGCCCCCAGAAAAAGAGCCGUUUAUAUUACUCAGUCAUUCAAACUGAGAUGAAAUACACCAAAAAGGUUGCAUGGGGGGGUUGAAACAAUCUGUAUCUUUAGAAAAUAGAAGUCUAACCAAGUUUAAACAUGGACAUAUAUCACAGAACACUUCUGUAAUUUGUCUUUAGUUUUCUGACAGUCAUUAAAAUUCCC